CUCAGUGAUGCACACUGUUGUGCUGAGGC
rnacentral:piRNA from 1 species